GACGAACGCUGGCGGCGUGCCUAAUACAUGCAAGUAGAACGCUCAAGAGAGGAGCUUGCUCUUCUUGGAUGAGUUGCGAACGGGUGAGUAACGCGUAGGUAACCUGCCUUGUAGCGGGGGAUAACUAUUGGAAACGAUAGCUAAUACCGCAUAACAAUGGAUGACACAUGUCAUUUAUUUGAAAGGGGCAAUUGCUCCACUACAAGAUGGACCUGCGUUGUAUUAGCUAGUAGGUGAGGUAAUGGCUCAACUAGGCGACGAUACAUAGCCGACCUGAGAGGGUGAUCGGCCACACUGGGACUGAGACACGGCCCAGACUCCUACGGGAGGCAGCAGUAGGGAAUCUUCGGCAAUAGGGGCAACCCUGACCGAGCAACGCCGCGUGAGGGAAGAAGGUUUUCGGAUCGUAAAGCUCUGUUGUAAGUCAAGAAAGGGUGUGAGAGUGGAAAGUUCACACUGUGACGGUAGCUUACCAGAAAGGGACGGCUAACUACGUG
rnacentral:rRNA from 1 species